GGGGCAUUGGCGCAAUGGUAGCGCGUCUGAUUCCAGUUAAAUAGACUCAGUCAAGUUUCUGAUUCUGGAAGAUCCAGAAGGUUAGCUGUUCGAAUCAGCUAUGCCUCA